AUUUAAAUGGCAGAUAAAUGCAUUAGAAUUAGAAUCUAACAACUCUCAUAUU
rnacentral:tRNA from 2 species